AAUUUUCUCAUUCCUAUUUCAUUUUCAUCUCUUCUGCAUCAUUUUCUUUAGUUGCUCCCAUGAAGUGAAAGUUGAAAAAAGCUCUGCAUGGGGUAGUGAUCAUGAGAUUUGAGUUUGGAAAGUAGAAAAUCCAGUAACCUGUAUGUUGGUGGUCAUGCUUAGCUGGCUGGAUGAAGGAGGCAUUGUUGGUUGGAAAAGCUAAAUUGGCAGGGGGGGAAGGACAACAUAUGAGUUUCUGUACUCUACUAUUUUGGGUGCUAUUUUGGUUAUUAUACUGCUUGUAUGUUCUGCUCUGAGUUCAAUUUGAGUCCUAUGGCUGUAUUGUAACACCCCUAACCUGUAUCCGUUUCUGGAUUAGGGUUAUGAGGCAUUACUAAUUAAAAUAUUAUUCACAUAAA